rnacentral:rRNA from 1 species
AUUGAACGCUGGCGGCAGGCCUAACACAUGCAAGUCGAACGAGUGGCGGACGGGUGAGUAAUGUCUGGGAAACUGCCCGAUGGAGGGGGAUAAAUACGGGAAACGGUAGCUAAUACCGCAUACCAUCGGAUGUGCCCAGAUGGGAUGAGAUAGUAGGUGGUGUAACGGCUCACCUAGGCGACGAUCCCUAGCUUUUCUGAGAGGAUGACCAGCCACACUGGAACUGAGACACGUUCCAGACUCCUACGGGAGGCAGCAUUGGGGAAUAUUGCACAAUGGGCGCAAGCCUGAUGCAGCCAUGCCGCGUGUAUGAAGAAGGCCUUCGGGUUGUAAAGUACUUUCAGCGAGGAGGCGUUACUCGCAGAAGAAGCACCGGCUAACUCCGUGCCAGCAGCCGCGGUAAUAC